rnacentral:lncRNA from 1 species
GUCCAAGACAACUAGAACCCCCUUCCUCUCCGGGCAGACCAGCCGGGAUUAGGAGGCCAGCAGAGCACCCACAAACUGCGGGUCACGUGCGCGAUCAGAGCCCGACCAUCGAGUCAGUCCUCCAGCUUCCCAGAGCGGCCUCGGAAGUGCCCCUGCGGCUCGGGUCUUUCCGGCCAGGCAGUCCGCGCUUUUGUCCCGCCGGCGGCCGGGCUCCCGUGGUGCCGCCACAGCCAGAAGUUGAAAUGGAAGGUCUAAAAUUGAAAAGUAAAUGGAUGGAAAAUCUGAUGUAUGUGGACAUGGCAGAGUAUAGAUAAGGUAUGUUGCUGCUAAAGUUUCUGGGCCCACACUAGCCCACUUAUCAGUUCCAUGUUUUGUGUUGUGGGCUGCUCUACCCAGAGUAAUACAGAGAGCUGGGGAACUAGUCUGGCCUACCAUUCUUCAGUAACCUCAUCCUUGGGACUUAAUUUUAUAUACUAUUUCCUCAGAUGAGCCAACUUCUGCUUUAGUGGCUGCUGGGUGAUUCUUCACCUUCUAAAUGGUCUCCUAAAUUUCUAGCAUUUUCUAUUCCUUAUAGGAGGUCAUUAUUGCUAUGAAAAAAAGUUGGAUAGUUUGAUUCUUUACAUCUGUUCACUCUAAAGCAUGUAUUUUACUUUUAUUGACCAUUUUUUCCUCACAUAGUUGCAUACAUAGCUUUCCAAGUAA